CAGUGGGGAAUAUUGGACAAUGGGCGAAAGCCUGAUCCAGCCAUGCCGCGUGUGUGAAGAAGGUCUUCGGAUUGUAAAGCACUUUAAGUUGGGAGGAAGGGCAGUUGCCUAAUACGUAACUGUUUUGACGUUACCGACAGAAUAAGCACCGGCUAACUCUGUGCCAGCAGCCGCGGUAAUACAGAGGGUGCAAGCGUUAAUCGGAAUUACUGGGCGUAAAGCGCGCGUAGGUGGUUUGUUAAGUUGGAUGUGAAAUCCCCGGGCUCAACCUGGGAACUGCAUUCAAAACUGACUGACUAGAGUAUGGUAGAGGGUGGUGGAAUUUCCUGUGUAGCGGUGAAAUGCGUAGAUAUAGGAAGGAACACCAGUGGCGAAGGCGACCACCUGACUAAUACUGACACUGAGGKCGAAGC
rnacentral:rRNA from 1 species